UACGUAGGGGGGCAAGCGUUUGUCCGGAUUUAUUGGGCGUAAAGAGCUCGUAGGCGGUUUGGUAAGUCUGGUGUGAAAUCUCCACGCUCAACGUGGAGGGGCCACCCGAUACUGCCAUGACUGGAGUCCGGUAGAGGAGUGUGGAAUUCCCGGUGUAGCGGUGAAAUGCGCAGAUAUCGGGAGGAACACCCGUAGCGAAGGCGGCACUCUGGGCCGGUACUGACGCUGAGACGCGAAAGCGUGGGGAGCGAACAGG
rnacentral:rRNA from 1 species